GCGAGCGAGGAAUUUUCCGAUGGAUUGCUGAGCGGCGGACGGGUGAGUAACGCGUGGGUACCUGCCUCAUACAGGGGGAUAACAGUUAGAAAUGACUGCUAAUACCGCAUAAGGCCGCAUGGUAAAAACUCCGGUGGUAUGAGAUGGACCCGCGUCUGAUUAGCUGGUUGGUGGGGUAACGGCCUACCAAGGCGACGAUCAGUAGCCGACCUGAGAGGGUGACCGGCCGCAUUGGGACUGAGACACGGCCCAAACUCCUACGGGAGGCAGCAGUGGGGAAUAUUGCACAAUGGGGGAAACCCUGAUGCAGCAAUGCCGCGUGAGGAAGAAGUAUUUCGGUAUGUAAAGCUCUAUCAGCAGGGAAGAAAAUGACGGUACCUGACUAAGAAGCCCCGGCUAACUACGCGCCAGCAGCCGCGGUAAUACGUAGGGGGCAAGCGUUAUCCGGAUUUACUGGGUGUAAAGGGAGCGUAGACGGCGAGACAAGUCUGAAGUGAAAGCCCGGGGCUCAACCCCCGGACUGCUUUGGAAACUGCCUUGCUGGAGUGUCGGAGAGGUAAGUGGAAUUCCUAGUGUAGCGGUGAAAUGCGUAGAUAUUAGGAG
rnacentral:rRNA from 1 species